AUUGAACGCUGGCGGAAUGCUUUACACAUGCAAGUCGAACGGCAGCACGGACUUCGGUCUGGUGGCGAGUGGCGAACGGGUGAGUAAUAUAUCGGAACGUAUCCAAUAAUGGGGGAUAACUAAUCGAAAGGUUGGCUAAUACCGCAUACGUCCUACGGGAGAAAGCUAGGGACCUUCGGGCCUGGCGUUAAUGGAGCGGCCGAUAUCUGAUUAGCUAGUUGGUGGGGUAAAGGCUCACCAAGGCGACGAUCAGUAGCUGGUCUGAGAGGACGACCAGCCACACUGGAACUGAGACACGGUCCAGACUCCUACGGGAGGCAGCAGUGGGGAAUUUUGGACAAUGGGCGAAAGCCUGAUCCAGCCAUUCCGCGUGAGUGAAGAAGGCCUUCGGGUUGUAAAGCUCUUUCGCAAGAGAAGAAAACUUAAGCUCUAACAUAGCUUGAGGUUGACGGUACCUUGAUAAGAAGCACCGGCUAACUACGUGCCAGCAGCCGCGGUAA
rnacentral:rRNA from 1 species